ACGACCACAUGAAGCUGAGAGAGAGAUUAACGUUCGGCCCCUGCUGAGCACUGGUGUUAACCAACACUUUUGCUUUAUGAUGAGCAUGUAAUAGUUGUAAUUAACCAAUAACAUAAAAUGUCCUUUGUUAAAUGUUGUUAACUAGUUGUGGUUUUAAUCGUGCAAGAUUAUUUCAAAUCACAUGCCAAAACUAUUGCACAGAAUUGUUUUUGUGGUAGAAGUGGGUCUGAGCACACCAAGCAUUUGCCCCUAGAGUACAGAGAUGUGAAAGUAAAAGGUGACAGCCCUAAGGUGAAGUCUUAUCCAUCCACUGCUCCAGGUUGUCAUAACUCUUAUGAUUCAUGCCCUGUUGCAGCAGACACUUCCUUAUGGCCUGGAAACUUAAUAGCUUUAUUGUUCUGGCGGUGCUUUUAACUUGAAAUAAUCUCUGCUCUUUGAAGAUAUGCCCUCAGAUGCAGGCCGCACCCACCAUUCAGUUACAUGAAGGAUUCAAAUCCUUUUUUGCCCAUGUGUCAAAGGAUGAUUUUCACACUGUGUUUGAGAUUUGGAUUAACACAGGCAGAAAAUCCCAGUACCAUAUCAAUUUGUAAUCUGAGGAGAGAUUCUCUUGACAAACAAAGCAACGUAUGACAGUUUAAAGGGAGCCUUAAAAACAAAAACAUCAAAAAGACAGAGGGCUGGAGUGUCCUGGCCAGUGACUGACCAGUGACCAGUUCCUACCACGGCCGCGUCACAAGCACAGAGAGCAGCGUGAGGCCACAGGUGGUCAACAGGCUGAUUUUACUGCUGAUGUCACCAGAGGAAGUAGCACUGAUACCUGGGGGGAAGAAGGGACAUUUUAAAAGGGAGUCAAGAAACUCCAAUUCAACACACUAGUGCACUACAAUAGACAACUUCUGAGACAAUGUAUAACACAUUAUUUUAAGCAGUCGUUUUAAUUUGUCAUUUAUUACAUUUCAGUGAGCAUGACAGAGCCUCCUUAAAGAUGUGGCUGAACUCUUGUUUUAAAAUGGUUAGCUAAGUUUAAAACAUAUUACAAAACGAAUGAGCCUGACAUGACUUACUUGUUCCGUUUACUGAUAUGAUGUCCAGAUUCAACUUGCCACUUCUUGCUGCCCUUAGCAUGGUGUUGUAAAUAGCUGUGGCACUGGGUAGAGUGCUGUUGUAUGUGAAGCAGAGAUCUGAUAGGUGCACGAUGGAGUUGGGAUAAACUGGCCCAUCACUGGAAAUGAAAGACAUUUGCCAGAAGAGGAUUACUUAAACGGACUGAAUCCAUUUUAGACGUUUUUUUCAGCUAUGACAUUAAAACACAAAUGCUUACCAUGGAAAUUGUAUCAUUUCUAAUUCUUCAUAUAUGUAUAUAUAUAUAUGGUAUGGUAUGGUAUGGUAUAUAUGGAAUAUAUACUUUAUUUAUCUUACAAAAGGACAAGAACAAGAGCAAGAAGGAUCCAUAAACCUGAUGUUUACCUGAAAGACUGUGGAGUGAGACAGAUGAAGUCUGGUGAGUAGUCCUCUAGGAAGAAAGGCUCCAGCUGGGGAGGAAGUGAAAGGGUUAAUUUACUCAUCAUCCAUGCUGAGACACAAUCACACAUCAGUG
ensembl:lncRNA